UAGCUCUGCGUCACCUACCACCGCCCCCUUUUCUUUUUCUUCCUUCGUUCCCACCUUCCUUUCUUUUCCUCAAAUCACACCACACACGCGGUUACGCACAGCCUCUCCGUAUCCACCGCACACGCGCACGCAUACCAAAAACAUCAGGGUUAUCAAAAAAGCACACACAAAAAAAAUACAAACCAAACCAAAGAGCCAGAGGAAAACACACAAAGAGCGCCCAUCCUUCCCUCCCCCAACGAAAAGAAAACACCAAGGGUUGUUCUCUGCUUUGCAUGAUUUGUUGUCUGUGGUCCUCCGCGGCUCGCUUUCACUUUUAUUUCACGACUUCUUGUCUCACACACACACUCCAUUCCACUCUCCGUUCUAACCCUCCCUCCCCUCACACACAACGUCCAACUGCCUCCUUUCCCAUAUUACUGAACGUCACAAAACUACGGAGAGUAAACGGAAUCGGCAUCGUCACGCCGUCGCGCCUCUUCUCCCUUCUUCACAUUUGUGUUUGAGCUGUUUCUCUAGACUUUUCUGUCUCUCUGUGCUCCCCACUCUCCCCCCAAGUUCACAGCCUGCACCUACGGAAAAUCCGUACAGCCCCUCCACCCCCCGCUCGCAGACCCUUUCCGUGCGCUCGCUUAGCACUUGCUUGGUUUCAGUUUUAUUGUUAACUUCCUUUGCCGUUUUCCUCAUUCCUCUCUCUUUCAUCGUGGCUCCAGAACGCUCCGGUGGUGGCGGUGGUGCACAAACGCAAAAGCAGAGAAGAAACAGCAGCAUCCUUCACAACACCCGCACGACUUGAGCACAAGGCUCUUCCCCAUCCCACACCUCACCGAACACCCUCCACGCGGUCGCCACUCAACACAUUACUGGACUGAGCGUCAGUUUUUAUGUGACCUGCGCAAAACACCCUUCUGUCUUUUCUCCCCCUUCAUACAGAUCUGCCAACGCUCGCAGUCGUCCGUGCUUCCCCGCCGCAACUCAGCAAUGCCACGAACAGCCCCCGCCAAGGGUCGCCACAUUUCCUACAACGCUGAUGGCGAGCUCUGCAUGACGGUGGUGGACCCGGUGACGCGCAAGCUCCUCAUCCCAACGCAGUACAUCUUCGAAACCCGCGCCCAACAGCGUGGCACGCUUCCCUCACUCUGCCAGCUCUUUCUUUCUGGUCGGUGCCGCAAAGGCCAGGGAUGCUACCAGCUGCACGCCGACUGGGAGGCAGUGCAGCGACUUCGCUCUCAGGUGGAUAGCUUGCCCUGCUGCUGCCCCACUCACGGAGAUAAGGACCACAUCGGCGUCUUAGAGAAUGCCCUGCUGCGCGAGUCCGUCUCGCUGGGCCACUCUCACUCUCACCACCAUGGGAACAGCGAGCAAAACAGCGCGGAUGCGGCUGCUGCUGCCGAGUCGACCGUAGGCGCAAACGAUGUUGUGCUCUACGUUCCGGGCUGCUCCUUCUUUGAGGGGAGCUACGCGCCGCUUGACCGCGUGAGCUACACGGUCGGACUGCGUCGCCUACUGGAGGAGCAGCGCAUCGUGCUUGCCCCGUCCGCGGCGCGCAUCAGCCUUCUGAACCAGACCACAGGGUUCCCUGAAGAGAAGAUUGUUGCGGACGCGUCGGCGGCGACAGUGUGCCGCCUGCACGCGAUGGGACGGUGCCGGUACGCCGAGGAGUGCAAGUUCCUGCACCUUUGCAAGGACCUCACGACGGCUGACCCGCAGCUCACGGCAUCUCCGGCCACGGGCGGCGUCAACGGCAACGCCGACUGCGCCGCUCCCGGGUCCUUUGAGGCGAGCACCACCAGCGCGGGUCUCACGAACGGCACGGAGCCCUCUUCCACGCCUUGCGAUCGCCGGUUGAAGAGUUCCUACUACCACGGCGGCUCAGGCGCUUCGAACACACCGGGCGCCCCCGUUCGCCAAUCUGUCUUCACUUCCAUCAGCCUCCAGCAGCAGCAGCCCCUCGGCAGCGGCGGCGCUUUGGCGGCGGACCCCGCUGGAGUUGCGACUAUGGUGAAGGUCGGGUCGGCCUCCUCCCUGCAGCCGUCGCAAAGCAUGCCGUACCACCAGGAUCCGUCCAUGAUGGUGCCAGCGGACGGGAGCACCGGCAGUGCUCGGGGCUCGUCGAGGCCGUACCUGAUGGGCAGCGCUGGUGCCUCGGAGAGUGGCCGGCUGCUGGUGCCGCAGCGCGAGGACGCCAGCAACGGCAUCGAGGGCGCUGGCACCGCCUCUGCGGUGCCCUACUUGUCAAAGAGCUUCAGUGGCUACCGUAUCGGCGCCGUUGGGACGACGCCGCUGCCGCACCGGCCACAACAGAUUGAGAGUGGGGCUAUGCCCCACAUGAUGAACGCGAGCACCGGCAGCUUCCCCGGAAGCGGCCAACAGAAUAACUCCUCGCCCUCGGCAGCUCCAUAUGGCCUUUCGGCAACGAAAGGCAACCGUUUUCGCGUGUCCCUCAGUCUCCCCGCGGCCAGCUCCACAUCGACACUGACGUAUGGAGCUGCGCUUGGCACAUCGAACAGUUCGGAGAAGACAAGCUCGCCGCCGGCGGAGGGGUCGAUGGGGAUGUCGUCAAGCCACAACAGCUUUUCGCGGUCCGUGACGCAGAUGCAGGCCUCGUCGAACCCCACACGCUGGCAUCACAACCCGUACCUGGCCUCAUGGCCCAAGACAGAAGCUCCAUACGGGUGCGCCGGCAAGUGCCACAGCCUCAGGUACCACCCGACCGGUUUCUACGCGCUCCCGAUCGCGCGCGCGGCGUGACGUUACAAAGCUCCGCUUCCCGAAGAAAGGGGGGGGGAGGUGGGGGGGGCGAUAAAUGAGUAGCUGACGGCCCUUCCACACACGUACUUGUUACCCCUCGUUGCCUGGCUCCUUGCCUUUUCCUCUCGUUUUCUUUUUGUUGUUUCCUGCACAUAACCAAAACGACACCCUCACUCUCUCUCUCUCUGUUUUGCUUUCGCUUGUUCAGGAAGAAGGAGAGGCGAUCGAGGAGGUGAGAAGCAGAAGAAAAAAAGGAGGUGGGUAGAGGGAAGGACACUGCGCGCACGUCAAGAACACAAAGGAGGAGAGGAGCGAAGAUCAACGCCUUCAGCGCCACUCCCACGGACAGCGGGCGACAGCAGCGGCUGUCACGCAAGGACUCUGACGCGCCACGCAUUAGAACGAGCAAACAUGUGCCCGCGCCCCUCCUUGUAGUCUCACACCUCUCACUCCCCUACGCAAUGCGGGCAGAGAGGACCUCUUUUUUUUUCUUGCGUUCUGCGGCCUCAGCGCUGGGCGUGCGUGGUCGUCGGUGCCGGUAUAGAGUUCUCGUGUAUCGCAUACGCCCUCCGCUGCCGCACCCCCGCGUUCCCCUCCACGUCCUCCGUCUUGCUUCGUUUGCGCAUUUUUUUUGAUGUUCCUUUCCCUUUUUUUCGUGUCUGCUUCUCCCGCACUCUCUCUCACACACCCACACCCUCGCUCGCUCCCCUCGUUCCCGCUUUUUUCCCUCUGUUUUUUGUUCUCCUCUUUCUUUUUCGGGCAUGUGCUCGCGUUUCACUUUUUUUUCCUUCGCGCGUGUUUCUUUCCUCGUUUCUCUCCUUCCCUUAUUUGGUCUUCUCGUUACACCUCUUCUCUUCCUCGCUUUUCCUUUUCUGCCUUCUACCCCAACCCUUUCCGACUGAGUGAUGCUGGCAUACAUAUAUUAUAUUAUAUAUAAUAUAAAUAGCCCCUCUUUUGUUUGGUUACUUGCCCUCCUCCUCUUUGUGUGUCACUCUCUCUCUUUCCUCUCACAGGUAGACCCUCGCCCCCUCCACUCCCGCCUACACACUCACACACGAGCUCAAACCCCGUCUUUACCAUGGCGCGCAUCACGAACGGAUCGCACACACACCACGUAUAUAUCUAUAUCUCUAUAUAGAUAUAGAGAUAUAUGUGCACGCCUACGCAUCGACGCACUCAUAGAGAGAUACACUUGCUACUCCUUCGCUUUUUUUUGUUUUCCAUCGUCCUUUUUGCCCGUGCGCGCGUGCGUGUACGUGUGCGCUGAUGUGGCGCCCCGAGCACCCAUUCUCUCCCCUCCCCGCUCUCUUCCGCUCAGCCUCCCCCUCCUUUCUCUCCAUCCCGCCGCACGAGACGACUUCCUUUGUUUCCUCGAUUCGUUUUCCCCUUCCAACGAUUUUCUUUCCCCCGGAGGCUCCCUUUCCUCCGCCAUGACGGUGGAUUCGCUGAGUGUGGACCGCGCCACAAUACCCGAACUACACAGCGCCUUUUGCGCCAAUGGCGCCACACUCCUCACAUCCUCCACCGACAGAGGCGUCCGAAAAGCCGCUCUCUGAUCCGUCCUAUGGAAGAUGCAGCACUGGACAGGGGAGCACUUCGUGGAACGGAGUGCCUGCGAAACGAAGUGUACGCUCUUUGGUGCGCGACAUCGCAGUCCGCUGCAACUCCCACCGCUCACGUGAGGAAGCUACCUUGUGUAUUUGGCGCCGGAGGGCUGCGCCCGCCGGAUGACGGUGCCGUUACAGCGCUUCGCCAGCAUCAACUCGGGCAUGCAGGCAUCGGCCCCCUUCGGAGCACCGCACUCACACCCUCCCCCCUCCUCAUGCGCGGCGGUCGCGUGCGCUUCAACGCAUCAGUGGCUGGCGGGCUGUGGGCGGAUGGUGCGGCACAGGCAGACAUGGGGCCAGGAGCGGCGGCGGUGCGCCAUGCUACUAAUACACUGACGGGCACAGCGGCAAGAGGCACUUGGCGGCCGCUGCCCCACACGCGGAGAACAAGGCUGCUGAACUCAUGAGGCACACCUGGUUUCGCGCUAUGAUCUUGCACGCAGUGACCUGGCCACGCACAUCCCGCUCGCGCUGCAUGGGCUUCCCCCGCCGGGUGCCUACCGCUGCCCCCUGUGCUCCGUCGGAGCGACGUGCUGUGAGCUCUUUGUGCGCCGGCACAUGCUCACCGGCGGCCCUCUCCCCCGGCCACGACGCCGCGCUGAGGCGGGCCCCACAGCGCAGAACUGCGAGCGCGGUGCGCGGGCGCUGUGACGCACAGCCGGCACGCAGCGUACCGCACGCAGACAGUGCAUGGGGAGGCCGGAGGAGCAAGAGCGGUGGACGGGAACGGCGCGAAGCAUGCGGCACGCCCUCGAUGUGCCUGUGUGGGCUGAUGAGGCGCGGAUGCCGGAAGCGUGGCGAGGGCAUCCCGAGUUGCACCGUCGAGCCCUCCAGGCCCGAAUGUGGCGAGCCUGCGGGGAGCAGAUUAUGGGAUGCGGCUGCUCGAAGCGACCGAGGGCGCUGACCGGAAGGUGGCCGACUUCCUCCUCGGGCCUGUGCGGCAUGCGCCCUCGAUCGGGAGCCCGAAUGGUGGCCGCGUGGGUGAAGGCGUGCCGCCCACCCGCGUCUCCGUGUGGCGCCGCUGGGGGCAGGUGCGCUGUGGCUGUGUAUGUGCGCUGAUGUGCUGACUUGUUCGUGGCAGGGGUGUGGACAGGCUGAAGAAGAGAAUGACGCGAUUUUUUGUCUUGUAUGCACUCAUGUUGUGUUUUGGGCUCGUGUGUUUUGUUUCGGAGCGCCCCCCGUUUUCGGGCGUUGCUGUUUUCUGUGUUUUGCCCUCUCAGCAGCACAUAAGGUGAUGCCGGUGAUCGGGUGAGGGUACUGAAAGCCGAAACGGAAGAAUGAGGAUGCGAAGGAAAGGCUUGACGGAAUUUUUACGCUUGCACGGACAGAAGGCGAAAGCGCGCGCAACACAUCGGCACGAGGAUGCUGAAAAAAGGCAAGAAAAAAGGCAAGAAAAAGAGAAACGGGCGGUGCGUCACGCAAGACACAGUAAGGCGUGCACGCUCUCCGGGGAAUCGGCACGUUCCACCCACCCGCCUACCCAUCCACCGAGAUAUAUGUCGUGAAGGAAAUGCGGAUAGCAACGCCUGAUAAACGGAAAAAAAAGCAGAUGCAGUUGAGAAAGUACGUGAGAAGCAGAAGCGCAGUAUCUCUCUCUCUCUAUAUAUAUACAGACAUCCUUACGCGAGCGCGUUUUUUGUUUUGGCUUUGUUCCGCUUGUGUGUGUGUAUGUGUGUGAGUGUGUGUGUGUGUGUGUGAGUGAGUGUGUGAGUGUGUGAGUGUGUGAGUGUGUGUGAGUGUGUGAGUGUGUGAGUGUGUGUGAGUGUGUGUGAGUGUGUGUGAGUGUGUGUGUGUGUGUGUGAGUGAGUGUGUGAGUGUGUGAGUGUGUGUGAGUGUGUGAGUGUGUGAGUGUGUGUGUGAGUGUGUGUGUGUGUGUGUGUGAGUGAGUGUGUGAGUGUGUGAGUGUGUGUGUGUGUGUGUGAGUGUGUGAGUGUGUGAGUGUGUGUGAGUGUGUGAGUGUGUGUGUGUGUGUGAGUGUGUGUGAGUGUGUGUGAGUGUGUGUGAGUGUGUGAGUGUGUGUGAGUGUGUGUGAGUGUGUGUGAGUGUGUGUGAGUGUGUGUGAGUGUGUGAGUUGGCUGCCGUUGUGGUUGUUGAAGCGGAUGAGUUUCCAAAGCGCCUGGCUCUUUGUGUUUCCCCCGUUUUUGUCCUUCGGUUGGUUUUUGUUGUGCAGACGACACCACCACCCCCUUUUCUCUUUUUUUUGUGUUCUCGUGUUCGUGCUCAGACUUCUCUCAUCCUAUUCGCAAAUGGAUCUGUCGUUGAAUAUUUUUCGUUUCUUUUUUUUUUCUGUGUCCGCUGUUGUGGAUGACGGGGAGAGUUGCUCUCUGCUAGCACAUGUCUGCGUCUUUGCGUCGCGGAAUGCUUUUGCGCAUGCGCGCAGGUGCGUGGGCGCAUGCGCGAAGGUUUCGCCGUCGAUGAUGGCGCGUGGCAGUAAUAGAAAACACGGGUAAGGCGGAAUACUUUCGCAUGCAACUUUGCAUUACCCGAAUAAUAAGAACGCCAAACCACCUUGUCUCACUCUCUGUCUCUGUAGCGCUCUUUCUCUCUUUCUUUGGCUUGUAGCUUGCGUGUAGUUGGCUGCCUCGGUGAUGGACAUCACCCCUCUCCCCUCGCGUUGUUUCUCCUCGUUCCCUUCGUUUGCGUCUCCUUUUACUGUGUUGAUCUGUUGUGUUUCUCGUGCGUUCGUGUUUCCACCACUGGCGCCCUUUUUUCCGCUGUUUCUGUAUCUCUUUUACUUUUCCCAUUCGUUUUGUUCAAGUCCCCCCGCCCUUUUCUUUCCUUCCCUCCCCCUUCUCGUUCCCACACCCUCUCCCCCUGUCCUCUUCCCCCUUCUUCCUUCCCCUUUCGUCGCCCUUCUUGUCUAUUUCCCCUCUACCUGCCUCCCUGUCGCUGGAUGUUGCUGCUCCACACCACGCCAUGGUGCGCAUCUUUGUAUCGAGAUCCGUUUUCCUUUUUUUUUUGGCGUUGAUCGACGUCUCUUGUUGAAAAGGUAUGAAACACGACGCUUGUCAUGACGGCGACGGUGAUCGACGUAUCUAUCAAUCUUUCUCUGCCUAUAUCUAUCUCCUUCCCUCCUCCUCCUCCUUUGCGUGUCACCACUCCCUCCCUCGAAACUUUUUGUUUCACGCGAUCCGCUUUCAAAUGUUUUUUUUUUUUCCCUUUCUGUUAUUAUUAUUAUGAUUAUUUUUAUUAUUUUAGGGUCCGUUUUUCCCCCUCCCCUCCCCCGUCACUUUGGUCAAAAAAAAAAACCAGUCAUCGUCUUUCACGUGUUUCGGCUUGUCCCCCCUCCUUCCUCUUUUUUUUUUCUAUCUCCCUCUCUGAACUUGGCGAUGUCCAGUCUUGUCUGCUGGGGGCUGCCCUUGUUUUCCUCUCGGUCUUGACGUCAGUAAUGGCGUGGGGUGGGAGAGAAACAUCUCGGUGUGUGGCAUCUCAGAGUUUAUUAACUCCACUCUGUGAGGAAGCCAAGCAGCCCCCCUGCCCCUGUCCCUGCCAAGUGCAGAGCCACUUCCGGUGGUGACAGGGCCAGGCGCCGACGACGUGGAGAAGCCAGAGCGAUCUAUCGCCGCUGAUGUGGGCGGUCCGGUCCUGGGUGGCGUUGCGUCGGCGCUACCUGCGACGGUGAACGCGUUUCCAUCAUGUAUGUGAUGGGGCAGAGUGCCCGCGUGACUCGAGCGUGUAUCCCACCCGACCCUCCACUGCCUGCUGGUGGGGAGCCUGCGCCACCCCGAGGGACGCACCAGGUGGCCACCGGCGAGGCGGGCGGUGGGGGCGGGUAGAGUUGGAGGCGGAGGCCGUACUCGGAUGGAUGAGGGGCACUGCUGCAACGCGUGCUCACGGCUGCUUGGCGCCACGCGAUGAGGCCUGUGACAGGCCGGGUGGAGUGGUGUCUGAGUUCAUGUUGCGUGGCGGACUGGAGGCGUUGAUCAGGACAGGGAAUUUGUGCUUUUCCCUUGUCCCUCCGUUCCUCCUUGAUGACUCUUUGCACGAGAGAUGACGAAAAAGAAGUAAAGGAAGCGAAGCUAUCACUAACAGCACGACUAUAUGCAAGGACAUCAAAGAAAAAAAAACAACGUGCGGUGAAACGGCGGAGCGGGAAAGCGGGAAGCACCCUCCUGCGCUCCUCACCAUACACAGCUGAGCAGGGGAAAGAACAGUGCACGUUUUGCCACGCCU
rnacentral:misc_RNA from 1 species